rnacentral:rRNA from 1 species
AUUGAACGCUGGCGGCAGGCCUAACACAUGCAAGUCGAGCGGAGCGGCGGACGGGUGAGUAAUGCCUAGGAAUCUGCCUGGUAGUGGGGGAUAACGUCCGGAAACGGGCGCUAAUACCGCAUACUAUCAGAAGAGCCUAGGUCGGAUUAGCUAGUUGGUGGGGAAAAGGCCUACCAAGGCGACGAUCCGUAACUGGUCUGAGGGGAUGAGCAGUCACCCGGGAACUGAGACACGGUCCAGCUCCCAACGGGAGGAAGCGGUGGGGAAUAUUGGACAAUGGGCGAAGGCCUGAGCCAGCCAUGCGGCGGGUAUGAAGAAGGCUUUGGGGUUGUAAAGUACUUUCAGCGGGGAGGCGUUACCCGCAGAAGAAGCACCGGCUAACUCCGUGCCAGCAGCCGCGUAAUUC